rnacentral:lncRNA from 1 species
CUAAUUCAUAUUGUUAUGGUAAGUUAUUACAUACAGUGAGACAUAUAUUGAUUUUUUUUUUCGGGCACACAAUAUAUAGUAUAGUGUUUAUUGCAAAAGGCAUGAGCAAGUUGUUCCUGCCAAAUUAUAAAUGUUCUAUGUUGCAGUCACCCUUGAAACUUUAUUUCUUUCUUUUCUUUUUUCCGUAACUGUCCUGUUCCAGUCUUGAAUUUGACAGAAGCUACAGCAGCGGUUGAAGAGAGAAGCAUUUUCAGAUCUCGAUGUAGAGAUGUCGCGAUCAAAAGAAGUUGUUAUCAGGUACAAUACAGUUCGUAACAUUUAGUGAAAUGAUUAUGUUCCAGUAUUCAAAAUAUGCAAAUUGUCUGCAUGAGUGGCGAUUUAAAAGUUGUUUGAGGAACAGUGUUACCAUAUAUAUAAAACAAUCAGAAAUUUUUUGCUUGUGUUUCAGUUGGUACAAGUAUAUUGUUUUUGAAUUUACCAAUAUGUUAUGAACUGUUAUUUUACUUUUAUAGAGCUAUGUAUACUGAUGUUUGGAGUCAAUGUUUUCCCAUCUUAUAUUAGGACCGAAGAGCUGGAUCAAGGGUACCAAAUUUUGCACAUUUUGAUGAUACUAAGAAUGAAUCUAUAGAGAAGCAGGUGAAGGAUACUCAGUUUGGCUGAAUUUAGUAAUGUUGGAGUUCAAUGAAUUUAGCAACUUUUGUGACACUGCUUCCAUUGCAAGGUGUGGCAUAAUGGCCUUUUUUUAAGGAACAAUUUCUGUUGAAAUUCGUGUAUGUAACAUAUUUUUCUUGGCACAUUGUAAACGGUUUUCGUAUAAUUAAUUUUGAUUACCAG